rnacentral:tRNA from 1 species
GCCCCCGUAGCUCAGUUGGACAGAGCAGCUGCCUUCUAAGCAGACGGUCCCAGGUUCAAGUCCUGGCGGGGGCG